UACGUAGGGUGCAAGCGUUAAUCGGAAUGACUGGGCGUAAAGGGUGCGCAGGCGGUUUGUUAAGACGGAUGUGAAAGCCCCGGGCUCAACCUGGGAAUAGCAUACGUGACUGGCAAACUAGAAUAUGGCAGAGGGAGGUGGAAUUCCAUGUGUAGCAGUGAAAUGCGUAGAGAUAUGGAGGAACACCGAUGGCGAAGGCAGCCUCCUGGGCCAAUAUUGACGCUCAGGCACGAAAGCGUGGGGAGCAAACAGG
rnacentral:rRNA from 1 species